GAUGAACGCUGGCGGCGUGCUUAACACAUGCAAGUCGAACGGUCGCAAGACAGUGGCGCACGGGUGAGGAACACGUAGCUUAUCUGCCCCGAAGUGUGGGAUAACGCCCCGAAAGGGGUGCUAAUACCGCAUAAGCUCCCGGACUACAGAGGUCAGGGAGAAAAGGCGCAAGUCGCUUUGGGAGGAGGCUGCGGCCCAUCAGGUAGUUGGUGCGGUAACGGCGCACCAAGCCAACGACGGGUAGGGGACCUGAGAGGGUGAUCCCCCACA
rnacentral:rRNA from 1 species